ACAUGGAGGUUAAUUGUUGCCUAAGGAAAGAACACUCCAGUUUUUUACCAUCUGCCCUGACUCAUAGCUUCUUGGUGACAGCAAUCAGCAAGGGCAGUAGGGGUCAGGGUCUGGUCGGAGGCCAAUUUUAGAACUGAGGGCCAGAUGGGUGAUUGGGGUCAGGGGCUGGAGGAAGCAGUAUCAGCAACGCCAGAGUUAGCAACGAGGAAUGAAGUCCAGCAGGAGAUUGUCCUAGACUACAUGAAACAAUCAAACAAGUAGAAAGAGAACCAAGAGAGGACAGUGUCACAAAAACCAAAAAAGCAGAUGACAACCAGCAAUGUUAAAUGACACAAAAGAAAUCAAGAAGGACAUGGAUCAAGAAAUAGCUAUUCGAUUUGGAAAUAAAGAGAUCACCAGUAACUUUGCAGAGAAUACUUUUAUACUUUAUAAAAAGGUAUCACUUAAACUAAGACUCAAAAGGAAAUGAAACUCUAGGCCCUAGUCUAGGGGGCCAAGGAAAGGAAGGAGUACAUUGCAAAUAUGGGAACAAACAUGGUAAAGGUACAGGGAUGAGUCAAAAAUAGGAAGAAAAAGACACACCGGUUGUAUAUAUGAAAGGGAGCAACAUGUAAUAAAGCUAGAAAGGGAGGUAAGAACUACGUUGUGAAGUGUUUUAAAAGUCUGAGAUUAUAUUUGAUCAAAUUAGUUUACAGGGCAGCUAUGGUUGUUAAAAUAGGUAAGAUGACACAUAUCCUUGAUUAAGGAAAAUUAUUUUGGCAACUGUGUAGAGGAUUGACUAAAGAGGGGACUUGAGAAUGGGAAAUCAAUUAUAAGGAUAUCAUAAUAUUCUAGUUAAGAGGUGAGUACAGAAAAGAAAAGGCCAUAUUUGAGAGUUGUGAAGAUGGAAAUAACAAAAUUUAACAAUGGAUUUGAAAUGUGGGAUGAGUGAGGAUUCAAGGAUGACACCAAUGUCACCAGCCAAGAUGAAUAGGAAGAUGGUGGUACACUGACAGAAUCCCACAAUCCUGAAUGGUGAAUACAUGAAUAUAAAUUCACACAUACCAACUAUUCACAUACAGCUACAGCUAUGCUUCACAUUCCAUCCUGGCCAACUUUUGGUCAACCUCCAAAUGCCGUAUCCUAUCACCUCAUUUCCACCUCUAACUCUAGAAGCACAAUCAAAUCAAUAUUGCCAUUAUUAGAAAUGCUGUCAAUUAACUCUUCGUUUGAUUUUCCUUAUGAAAACAUACAUCCUUGGAUACAACUUCUGUGUGUGUGUUAGUAUCUACCCCUAUUAGGAUAUGAGCACCUUGCAAAGGCAGAGAUAUCACACACUUCUCCAUUUGUAUUCCCAAUAUUUGUCAAAGGAAUAGGCAUAUUCUAAGUGAAUACAUGUUUUUGGUUUUGUUUAUUCUAAGAGUUGGGCUAUUUCUACCUUUGGAGGAAUAAAAAGCAAGAUUUGACAACUAUCUGGAUAUGAAAGAUGAGAAGCAGUAAGGAGUUAUGGAUGUUGAAAUUGAAAACCUAGUGGUAUCACCAGCCAUGGCAAUAGCAGAUCAGGAGAAGACAGAUAAGUAAUAAACACUAAAAAGUCCACUAACCAUUCUCCAAAUAAAGACAGAAGAACAAAAAUGCCUCAAAAUGAAUAUUAGAGAAGCAGAACCAACAGAAGAAGUACUGAAGCAGUGCUCUGACCCCAAAGAUGUUAAGAGAGCAAAAAGGACUCAUCUUAUUGAGGUACGAGAAAGGAGUGCUGAACAAGCCUCUGUGGAACUCGGCUGAAACAGACCACUAGCAGCAGGGGAGAGAACACAACCAGCUAGGUCCUGCCUCAGUAGGGGAAAAGUAGAAACCAAUGAAACAAGUAGCAGUGGGAAGAAAGCAGCCCUGCAUAAUCCAGACAGAAGAGAUUGGGCACAACCCAGCAUAGUCAGCAGUAGCAGAGCUCAGCUCAAAAAGGUCUAGACUCAGUGGGAUUGGGUAGAACCCAAUUCCAACCAGAUGAACUUAACAGCAGCUACAAAUCUCCAUACAACAGGCCAAGCAGGCUGCCUCUCUCUAUUGCUCAAUCGUGAAGCCAAGACUGCUGACCCAACCUCAGGCACAGUACAACCAUGGGGCAAUACUCCUUCCACCCCAGGAACAGAGAUAAGCUUCAGUAUAGACAAAAUCAAAGGGAAAAAAUAACCCUCAAAUGCACAAUAGAGGAAAAAGUAUGACACUAGAAAAAUAUCUCGACAAGAGAAAUAACCAAAAUAAAAGCCCAGAAAAAGAAAGCAAUACAAAAAUAAAAACAUGUAAAAUGAAAGUCUCAAAGGGAAAUGUAAAAAUAUGUCAAGCCCAAAGCGAACCUUUGGAAGAACUCCAAAAAGGAGAAAAACAAAUAAUAAGAAACUUAGAAAAACAAUUAGAAAAGAAAAUGAUUGAAAAAAAUCUGCAAAAACUUAUGGAACAAAGUAGUUCCUUAGAACUUGAAACGUACUGAACAAAAACUUACUGAAAAAAGUAGUUUCCCUAAAAAAGGAAAUGCAAUUCCUUAAAAAGAUAAAAAUAACUCACUUAUUAAAAGUCACUUAACCCCCAUUGCCUAGCCCUUACCACUCUUCUGCCUAGGAACCAAUACAUACUAUUGAUUCUAAAGUGAAAGGUAAAAAAAAAAGGGGGGGGACUCAAGGAAAUCAACAGUCAAACUAAUCACAUCCCUAUGUAAGAUUUCUACAAUACAACAGAGAUCUAAAAUACUUAAUUAAAAUACUUAAAGCAAUCAAGGGAAACAAUGAGGUUAAACUGAUUACAUUCCUUGCAUGGGGAAAUGAUAACUAGAAUACUUAAAUAUUUAAAAUACUUGUGAUAUUUUUAAGAUAAUUAAGGGAACAGAUGGGGUUAAAAUGAUUACAUUACUAGUAAGAAGGUGACAACUAAGAUGCUUGAGAUAUUUAUGAUGCUUGAAGUAUCUAAGAUACCUAACUUGUACUUAGGGUACUUAUGGUACUUAAAAUAUUUUAGAAUUUUUAACACUAAUGAAGCAAUGAAUAGGUAUAUACAUAGAGAGUAGGGAAUAAGUUGAACAUAAUGGGAUUUUUUAUUUAAAUCAAGGUAUAAGAAAGAAUAAUAUACUGAGAAAAGAGAAAGUUGGGGGUAAAUUAUCUCACAUAAGGAGGCAUGAAAGAAUCAACACAGUAGAAGGGAAGAUGGGGUGUCAGGCAAUGCUUGAAUUUUAUUCUCAUGGUAAUUGGCAUAAAAUGGGAAUAAUAUCCACACUCAGAGAUAAAAAUCUCUCUUAUCUGUAAGAAAUAAAAUUUAGGACUCUGGUCCUUAAUUUCCAUAAAGUUUAUUAGUAUUUACUUUGAUAGGUAGAGGGAGAGAAUUAGAGAAAAACCUGUUCUUUUUAGCAACAUGGGUGCUCUCAACAUGGCUCCCUCAACCACCUUUCCCUUGGCCAAUUCCUCCCAAGAGACCCUACUUCCUUCUCUGGAAACUUUUUUCCUCCCUCUUCCUUCAGGGUCAACUUCAAUCCUGUUCGAUUCAAAUUGUCACAGAACCUUCACUACGUGACAGAACUAGAAUCAUAAGGAUGCAGGUACCUCCUACUUCCUUUGUGGAGAAUAAAAGAAGAGAGAAGCAGGGGUUUUGGUGCCUCUUCCCAGAACCUGGGUGGAGAGCUUUGGUCUCUGCAUAACUGCCUGAAAUCAAACUUUCCUAUACUUCCCAAACUGUCCCUUUCCUAAAAUCCCAAAUAAAUCUACCUGACUUUCUACCGAGUCUAGUUUUGAUUUGAUUUACACUCCCUAGCCUAGUUAAAAGAAGAAAGCUGGUCAACUUCCCUGCCACUAGGCAGGGGGGAGGACCCCCGGUUACUUUCCUAUCCUUCCUUUUCCCUAUCUUUUCCCUCCUUUUUUUUUCCUUUCCCUACCACAGUAGAUAGGAUGGAUUAGAGGAAGGAUGGACAGGAUGUGAGGAGACAUGAAGGCUAUUCUAAUAGUUCAGGUGGGAAGAAGUAAAAACCUGAAGUAAAGUGGAAGCAGUGAGAACAAUGGAGAAAACAGAUGAAAUAAAUUGCAAGAAGAAAAGCUCAUAGGACUUCAUUCUGAAAGAAUGUAUGAACCAAAAUUUUCCUCUAUAAACUCUGUAUUAGGAGAUUAUUUAAGAGAGAGAUGGGUUAGUAAGACUGUAAAUUGAAGUUAGAUGACUGGGAAGAUUUUUGUGUCAUUAAUAAAAUUAAAGAAGUCAGAAAGAAAAAAGGUUAGAUGAAUUCAGAUUCAUACAUUCUACGCAAGAGAUUGCAGAUUAUGUAUCUAGAGUCUGAAAGGACCUCAGAGAUCAUUUAGUCCAACUCCUUUACCCUACAGAUAUGACUCCGGGAAUUUAAAUAACUUGUCUAAGGUCAUGGAUAGUAAUAAUGAGGCAAACUACACCCUUCAGUAUAGAAAGAACUGAGGAUGUGAUUUACCAAGAUACUAUUAUGAAUGUGGAAGAUAUUAUGGAGGCAAAAUUGAUAAUACUAGAGAAAGAGAGGAGGAGGAAGAGAAAGUCAAGGAUGAGGUUCUAAAUGAAAAUCACCUAAUGGACAAUGAUGCCAUUGACACAAAUAGGCACUUAGGAAGGUUAAGUUUAAGGAAAAAGAUGAAUUUUUGUUUUGGAUGUGGAGUUUAAGAUGGCUACACAACAUCCAAUUCAAACUACUCAACAGUUAGAGAGUAACGUAGGACUGGAAUUCAGGAGAUGAAGGCUAAAUAUAUAGACUUAGGAGUUAUCUGCCUAAAGAUCAUAACUGAAUCCAUGGAAACUAAGAAAAAGUAUCCUAAGAAAAAGAGAGAAAAGGGCCUCCUGACACAGACCUGAGCUAUGUUCAUACUUGUAGCAGGAAAUGGAUAACACUUUUGCAAAGAAGACUAUGGAAUCAAAGGUAAGAACAUGAGGGAGCAGUGUCAUGAAAACUCAUAGAGAGAAUAUUCAGGAGAGGAGCCUAUGCAGCAUUGUCAAAUACUAGAGAUAGGUCAAGAAGGAUGAGGACUGAAAACCCCUAACAGUAACCAUAGUACUGAUAGAUUCUAACUUUAUAAUACACUUUUUAAGGGAAUAUUUUCCAAAUUCUAACUAGGCUCAUAAAAUUGCACAAUUCUGAAAAAAACAUAGCUCCUGGCUAUUGUUUCCCUCCACUAUUUUCCCUAUCUUUCUCUUUACCAGAUAUUAAGUGACCAAUACAUCCCCACUUUCUGAAGUCCAUUUAUUAAUUCAUGCGUUUGAUUUUACUCUAUCACUUUGAAUUUAUACUCCUUACCUAUUGUAUCUGGAACCCAAAUCUCAACCGGACUAAGUAUAAAAACUAUGCAAAACUCAAAUUGUUAAAUAUUAUGAUUAUUUAGUUGCCAUAGCUAUCAAUACCUUUACCUUAAAGUUUAAUUUUUUUCCAGCAUCCUUCAUCUAACUUCCAAACUGUGAGACUUCCAAAGUCCAAACUUUUCUUAAUUCCUAGUCUUUUCUUUCUGCCCCAAAUCUAUAAUGUUCCCAUGUGCUAUCUUCAAACUCAGUUCAGCUUCUGUGCUAUUACUGAAAUCAUCCAACACAUUUGCCAUCAGCCAAAGAUGGCUAGUCACUAAUUCAUACCAAAUAUUCCAACAGGAUGAUUGAGAAAUGUUGACAUGAUCACAUAUCCCAAUGAGUAAUAUAGCUUUCUAGUUCUAAAUCAUAUGGCAAGUGGAUUUUGAGUCUGUCAGCAACCUCCUGGCUCCACCAAAUUCUUCUCCAGUUCAACAUGUAAUUUGAGACCACAUGGAGAAUGGAGUGAAAUAGUGGCCACAAUACUGGCACAUAGCAAAACCCCCUCCUCCUUUAUUCUCUCACUACCUUUGUUCUUUCUAGCUCUUUCUUCAGUCAGGCUAGGAGCUGCUCUAUUUUGGAUACACAGAACAGCAAAAAAAAAUUUCCUCUCUUACUUUUUUCCUUUACAUCCAAACUCCAUUAUAAUAUGACACAUGGAACACACACAUGCAUAUAAAUGAAUGAGUACACCCAAAAAUGUGAAAAAAAAAGUUGAUAUUAUUAAAUAGAAUCAGAAUGAAAAACAUUGGAUAUUCGUGAAAUGGACAGAACCAAAGCCUAACAAUUCUAUGAAACAGAAAUUUUCUCUUGCUUGUUCUCUCUCUCCAUAUAUAUUUACACACAUGUUUUAUGGAGGGUUCUCUAUAACAGAGAACUUCUGCUCAAUCUACUCCCCCAAAUCCAAAACUAUUCACCAUUUUCUUUUUAUUUAACCUUUCUACCACCUUUAACAUUGAAGACUACUGAACAUUUUCUUCUUUAAAGUUCAAGAACAAUUUUUUUUUAAUUUCAAAACAAUACUAUCAAAAAAAAGAUACUUCAGAGAAAGUAUUUUUCAUUAAUGGUUUCAAAGAAGCUGGGUUAUAGGUUUAUAUUGGGAGAAUGCUUUGGAAGAGUUUCUGGCUAGUACAAGCAAGAGAAGAACAUUCAGAAAUAGAACAUAUGAUGGACAGGUGCUGAAUUGAUUGAGAAGCUGUCAGAAGAAAAAAGACUGGUGGGAAGAAUAAAAUGAACAGAUAGGAGAGAAGCCUACUCACUUGGGCUUUAACAUCUCUGUGACUUUAACCAUGCAGUUAUUCUUUGCAAUUAUCUUUCUCAUUUCAUUUUUGCUACAUUAAUAAGUUUGUGUUAUAAAAAAACAAUAACAAAACUUGUAAAGAUUUCAUCAUGCUUCCCAUUCAAAGCAAGACAUGAUGCACUAUUCAGGAAAUCACAAAGACCAAGCUGACCAAAGGACACCAAAGGGACUUUGCAGUACUAAAUUACAGAGUGAAAAAUCAGGAGGAUACAAGAGGCUAGGAGCAUAUGUGUUUGUUCCUAACUAAUAAGGAAAACUGUGCAAAAAUAAAUAAAUGGGAGUGUCUAUGUGUAUUUCUAAUGAAAUAGGAAAGCUGUUCAGAAGAAUCAAGAAGGUUAGAUCUGAAUGGUCAAGAGGAAGGAAAAUCGGUGUGUUCCCAUUACAAUUUAAAAGAUGUCUGAUACUGGUCAGGAAAAUGCAGUAUCUGUGAUAGAUAUACCAUCAUUUUAAUUGGUCCAUGAGACUUCCCAAUAAUGAUAUAUGGAAAUCUUUCCCCUGGUUCCCUGAGAAAACAGUACAUAUAUUAUAGUAAUAAAUAAUCAAAAACACAUUGAUUAAACAUUUACUAUAUGCCAAACUGUGUUAAACACUGAGCAUAUCCUCCAAAGAGCCACCAAGUGAUUUUUCCAUAGGGAGAUGUUAUUUCCCUACUCAAAUUCAAGUGGCUCCCUAUUGCCAAUAAAGUAAAAUAUUAAGUACUUUCUUUGGCUUUUCAAGUCUUUCACAAUUAAGCCCUAGCUGUAUCUUUUAAACCUCAUCAUUAUCAUUUAAACUUCAUAUAUUACUCUAUUUCUCACACUGUAUACAGUCCAGCCAAACUGGCCUCCUGUCACAUGGCAUUAGAUAUUCCAUCUCUCUACCUCUGCUCAAAAUGCAUUCCUUCCCCUUCUCUCACUUAUGCCUCAUAGAACUCCUUACUUCCAAUAAGAUGAAACUCAAGCACUACCUUCUAUAUAAAACUUUUCCUGAUCCCACAACUGCUAGUGCCUUCUCCCCUUAUCUUACAUUUAUAUGUAAUAAAAGUGCCCAAAAAGAAUGCAAUAGAACUUUUGACCCAAAAGAUUGUUUUAUUUUUGGAAUUUGUAUCCCUAGAACCUACAACAGUACCUGAGACACAGGUACUUAAAAAAACUUGUUGACUGAUUGAAAUAACCAAGGAGUUUACAUUUUAUAAUAGAAAGCAUAUAAACAAAACAUAUGAAAUAAAUAAACACAAAGUAAUUGGAGGUGGGGGGACUAGCAACUAUCAGAGAAGGCAGAAUUAGGAAAGAAAUCUCAUGUAGAAAGUAGUAGUUGAGUUGAGCUUUGAAAUCAGGGAUUAUAAGUGGCAAAGGGGAGAAGUAUAUUACAAGCACGAGAGACAUGUCCAAAGGCAUAAUCAGCAAUUUCAAUUUAAUGAGAUAUUUCAUCAUCUAACUGCAACACAGAACUACAGACACAUAAGAAGUUUUCUCAGUGCCUAAAACUUGUUUCUAUAAAUAUAAUAAAGGCAGGAAACACUAAUAUCUCACACUUGCCCUAUAUCAUUCUCUCUACUCUUUCCCAAGGAAGCUUUCACUGCCACUACUAAGUAAUUAAUAUACCAACCUAACUACCUUAAACUUUCUCUAUCUUCCAAAUCAAGAUUUCUUGAUGUUCAACUGAUCACUUCUGGGAUAUCUCCUAAUAAUCCAUCUAGGAUUAUGAAAAGUUCUUCAUUUCCUUGCCAUCCCCUUUUUUUCCUACUUGGGAUUGAGGAAUUAACUUUGAUUCUUAAUGUGACCUAUUUAUAUCCCUUAACCAGAGCUGAACUACACUGGGUCUUAUGACAAAGCACUCUAUAUAGAGUAGACUCUCUACAGCCCAUCUCCCACUGUCUCUCUCCUCUUGAAGCUCACUGAAAAUAUGGAUAACUGUCUUCCAAAGAUACUAUUGGUAGUCCCAAGAAGGCCUACUUCUGGUACCUAUCUUGUGUAUUCUGGAGGAUUUAAUCUGUCAUCAAAUAUAUUCAAUGAUCAGGAAAAAAGAUCCAUCACAAGCCAUUUAGAUAGCAUUAGAGUUACUUAUAUGGAUCUAGGAUUGCCUCUACAAGAGAUUUUUUAACACCUGAACUGGUUUCCUUUCCAUCGUAUUGUCAAAAGAAGAUAAAUAGUAUUAUCCAUCUUUACUGUCCUAAAUUCAGUUACGUCAUUUUUUCUGGAAUUCUUUAUAUGGCUGUUUUUGCCUCCAGAUUCCACACAAUCUUGAACUUUUAAAUCAAAAGACCUGUGUUUGCCACUUAACAGUUUAUCAAAGUAACAAUCAAUUUCCUCCUCUUUAAGACAGGCCUGAUGUCAAAUCUUGCUAUGAAGCUCAAAAUAAAAU